rnacentral:sRNA from 1 species
ACAGUCGGAUUGGUGAAUUGUGUCCCAGGAAGUAGGUGCAAGUGGCAUGUGACCACUUGGGACAUGUACUGCUACUAUUAUUCUUUAUUCUGACAUGGAUUUUUGACAGGAAAUAGGCUAGCAUAAACAUACAGCACUGGAUGAAUCUGUUCUUCUGAUUCUGCUUUAGAAGACAUCUCCUUACUAAGACUAAGCUCCAAGAGGCCGAGACUCUUUUCUCAGUGCCUGUACCAAAGCAGUACUACGAGAUGCUUUACAACACAGCUGACGAGCUCCUGAACCUGGUGGUGGACCAGGGUGUGAAGUACACGGAGCUGGAGUAUAUCCAUGCCCUGACCCUGCUGCACCGCAGCCAGACUGGGGUGGGGGAACUGACCACCCAGAACAUGAGGCUGCAGAGGCUCAAAGAGAUCAUCUGCGAGCAGGCUGCCAUCAAGCAAGCCACCAAGGACAAGAAGAUAACUACCGUUUAGCAGGGCGUACUGCGGUUGGUGACGGGGGUCCCCUCAGUCACACUCACUUUUUUCCUUGGUAUGUUAUUGAGUAUAUUCUGAG